GAUGAACGCUGGCGGCGUGCCUAAUACAUGCAAGUCGAGCGAACGGACGAGAAGCUUGCUUCUCUGAUGUUAGCGGCGGACGGGUGAGUAACACGUGGAUAACCUACCUAUAAGACUGGGAUAACUUCGGGAAACCGGAGCUAAUACCGGCUAAUAUUUUGAACCGCAUGGUUCAAAAGUGAAAGACGGUCUUGCUGUCACUUAUAGAUGGAUCCGCGCUGCAUUAGCUAGUUGGUAAGGUAACGGCUUACCAAGGCAACGAUGCAUAGCCGACCUGAGAGGGUGAUCGGCCACACUGGAACUGAGACACGGUCCAGACUCCUACGGGAGGCAGCAGUAGGGAAUCUUGCGCAAUGGGCGAAAGCCUGACGGAGCAACGCCGCGUGAGUGAUGAAGGUCUUCGGAUCGUAAAACUCUGUUAUUAGGGAAGAACAUAUGUGUAAGUAACUGUGCACAUCUUGACGGUACCUAAUCAGAAAGCCACGGCUAACUACGUG
rnacentral:rRNA from 1 species